AAGGCAGCUUGCCAUACUGCGACUGACACUGAAGCACGAAGGCGUGGGUAUCAAACAGGAUUAGAUACCCUGGUAGUCCACGCAGUAAACGAUGAUUACUAGGAGUUUGCGAUAUACCGUCAAGCUUCCACAGCGAAAGCGUUAAGUAAUCCACCUGGGGAGUACGCCGGCAACGGCGAAACUCAAAGGAAUUGACGGGGGCCCGCACAAGCGGAGGAACAUGUGGUUUAAUUCGAUGAUACGCGAGGAACCUUACCCGGGAUUGAAAUGUAGAUGACGGAUGGUGAAAACCGUCUUCCCUUCGGGGCGUCUAUGUAGGUGCUGCAUGGUUGUCGUCAGCUCGUGCCGUGAGGUGUCGGCUUAAGUGCCAUAACGAGCGCAACCCACAUCGGUAGUUGUUAACAGUUUUCGCUGAGGACUCUACCGAGACUGCCGUCGUAAGGCGCGAGGAAGGUGUGGAUGACGUCAAAUCAGCACGGCCCUUACAUCCGGGGCGACACACGUGUUACAAUGGGAGGGACAAAGGGCAGCUACCGGGCGACCGGAUGCGAAUCUCUAAACCCUUCCCCAGUUCGGAUCGGAGUCUGCAGCUCAACUCCGUGAAGCUGGAUUCGCUAGUAAUCGCGCAUCAGCCAUGGCGCGGUGAAUACGUUCCCGGGCCUUGUACACACCGCCCGUCAAGCCACGGGAGUCGGGGGUACAGGAAGGGCGUAACCGCAAGGGGCGCACUAGGGUAAUACCGGUGACGGGGGCUAAGUCGUAACAAGGUAGCCG
rnacentral:rRNA from 1 species